GAUGAAGAACGUAGCGAAAUGCGAUAAGUAAUGUGAAUUGCAGAAUUCAGUGAAUCAUCGAAUCUUUGAACGCACAUUGCGCCCCCUGGUAUUCCGGGGGGCAUGCCUGUCCGAGCGUCAUUACAACCCUCAAGCUCAGCUUGGUGUUGGGCCCCGCCGCCCCGGCGGGCCCUAAAGUCAGUGGCGGUGCCGUCCGGCUCCGAGCGUAGUAAUUCUUCUCGCUCUGGAGGUCCGGUCGUGUGCUCGCCAGCAACCCCUAAUUUUUUUAAGGUUGACCUCGGAUCAGGUAGGGAUACCCGCUGAACUUAAGCAUAUCAAUAAGCGGAGGA
rnacentral:misc_RNA from 1 species